AUGUUUUUCAGAAAAACACCUCAUAUUUUACAUAAUCAGCCCGCAGUCCAUCAACACCUCUUUCCUCCUGAGUUAGGUUCCGAGCGAGAUGGGGCCGCGAUCCAGACAACGCUGGGCGCGGCGGCGGCGAUCUCCGGCCAGAUCCGGUCGAGGAGUCGAGGCAGGUCCGGAUCCUGUUUAGGGGACGGUGUGGAGGCGAUCUACGAAGCGCGGGAGGAGGUCAGGCGGCGGGGCUUGAACUCCAAGUUCAUGGCGGCGGCGUUCCUCGCCGGUUCCGACCGAGAUGGGGAGCUCUGGCGGAGUCUCUCCAUGGAUAUGGUGGCCCUGCACCUGUGA
rnacentral:rRNA from 1 species